rnacentral:rRNA from 1 species
CAAAAAUGUAUCCCCCUAGUAGCGGCGAGCGAAGCGGGAAGAGCUCAAAUUUAUAAUCUGGCACCUUCGGUGUCCGAGUUGUAAUCUCUAGAAGUGUUUUCCGCGUUGGACCGCACACAAGUCUGUUGGAAUACAGCGGCAUAGUGGUGAAACCCCCGUAUAUGGUGCGGACGCCCAGCGCUUUGUGAUACACUUUCAAUGAGUCGAGUUGUUUGGGAAUGCAGCUCAAAUUGGGUGGUAAAUUCCAUCUAAAGCUAAAUAUUGGCGAGAGACCGAUAGCGAACAAGUACCGUGAGGGAAAGAUGAAAAGCACUUUGGAAAGAGAGUUAACAGUACGUGAAAUUGUUGGAAGGGAAACGCUUGAAGUCAGACUUGCUUGCCGGAGCUUGCUUCGGUUUGCAGGCCAGCAUCAGUUUUCCGGGGUGGAUAAUGACGGUUUGAAGGUAGCAGUCUCGGCUGUGUUAUAGCUUUCCGUUGGAUACAUCCUGGGGGACUGAGGAACGCAGCGUGCUUUUUGCGAAAGACUCGUCUUUUUCACGCUUAGGAUGCUGGUGGAAUGGCUUUAAACGACCCGUCUUGAAACACGGACCA